AUUGAACGCUGGCGGAAUGCUUUACACAUGCAAGUCGAACGGCAGCACGGACUUCGGUCUGGUGGCGAGUGGCGAACGGGUGAGUAAUGUAUCGGAACGUGCCCAGCCGUGGGGGAUAACGUAGUGAAAAUUACGCUAAUACCGCAUACGAUCUAUGGAUGAAAGCGGGGGAUCGCAAGACCUCGCGCGAUUGGAGCGGCCGAUAUCAGAGUAGGUAGUUGGUGGGGUAAAGGCCCACCAAGCCAACGAUCGGUAGCUGGUCUGAGAGGACGACCAGCCACACUGGAAGUGAGACACGGUCCAGACUCCUACGGGGGGCAGCAGUGGGGAAUUUUGGACAAUGGGCGCAAGCCUGAUCCAGCCAUUCCGCGUGCAGGAUGAGGGCCCUCGGGUUGUAAACUGCUUUUGUACAGAACGAAAAUGUUUCUACUAAUACUAGGAGCUCAUGACGGUACUGUACGAAUAAGCACCGGCUAACUACGUGCCAGCCGCCGCCGUAA
rnacentral:rRNA from 1 species